UGCCACACUAGUCAGUUACCUCAUUAAUCCUCUGAAAAGCACCAUCAGUUCUAAUUUUUUUGGCCAUUGAAGAAAUGAAAAUGAACCAAAGUCUUUAUGAAGUUACAGUGCAACUUUUUUCCUCUGCAAACUAGAAUGAUGCAUUACAUACUUCUGCCUUCUAUUUUUUAGUUAUAAUGCUGAAAUGGAAUUACCUGAAAGGACUAAACCUCUCAUGGCCACAGAAAUAUCUCUGGCAUGAACUGUAUAUGUUACUGUGAUUGUUUUGGAAAAGAGGAGAAGAAGGAAAUAAACAAACAAAACCCUCCCAAACAAACAAACUAAUCCUACUUGUGUAAAAAAAAGUAUUGCAAUCUGCCUUUAGGCGAAAUUCUGUUAAGAUUCUUUUGAGUUUCCAUUGGACACUGGUUUCUGUAUACACUGAGAAAAUUGCCAGCCCACCUGUUACCCAUCCAAACUGGAAUUGACCAUGAUGGCUGAUGAGUCUUCAGAGAUUGUUCCUUUGCAUCAGCUACUUGAGUAUGCUUCUGCCAUGUUACUUACUUCUCCUCAAUCAAAAACUCCAAAGACAAUGGGUCUACAGGUGAAAAUAGCUCCUAUAAAGAUGCCUUGUCUUUUUGACCAAUGCUGGGGUUUAAUGGGAUUCUCUCCAGUGCUCAGGGGAACUGGACAUAUUCAAGAAGAUGCAGGACCUGUUUUUCCUAUUGUUUGAGAUUUCAGUGGCUUCAUAUCUUCCCCUGCUGAAGGAGGCAGAGGGAGGCCAAGAGAUGAGCUGACAAAUAUUUUUUUUCGUCUAAGUCUUUUCCCAUUUUCUCGACUCUACAACUCAAUACCAAGGCAGAUUUCCCUCUCCCCUUUGCAUGGGGCUGUGGAAUUGUGAAACCAGAAGGUCUAGUCUGCAGGGCAGAACAGUAGCAUGCGUUUCCCCACCGUGCACCCUGUGGCUGAUGGGGUAGAGGAAAUCACAGGCUUGGAAGGGCAUUUGAUUGGAAUCUCCUUGGCCAGAGGCACAGAGAAGAAAAGAUGCUGCACUGGCAGAAAGUAACAAUGUUAUCAUUACCCUUCUCCCAGGUCCUACUCUUUGUCUUUUUUCUCUCCCUCUGAAUUAAAAAAAAUAAAUACAUAUACAAUAUUUAG
rnacentral:lncRNA from 1 species